ACCACAAAUCCAGCAGAUUGUCGAUGUUGGUAGCUCGGAUAAAGAGGGAGGAGAGGCCGGUGGUGGGGGUACUUGUGAUUUCCGGCUCCGGUUCAAGCGGCGAGUGACCGCUCUGCAUUCUUCCAUUUUGGUGGGCCGAGGCGUCGGACGCGCACGGCCAAGAUGGUGAACAACAGAAUACCGAAGGUCAUUAGUAAGACCUACGUCACCCCCAGGAGACCCUAUGAGAAGGCUCGCCUUGAUCAGGAGUUGAAGAUCAUCGGCGAGUAUGGUCUGAAGAACAAGAGGGAAGUAUGGAGGGUCAAGUACACCCUCGCCAAGAUCCGUAAAGCCGCCCGUGAGCUCCUGACUCUCGAAGAGAAAGAUCAGCGUCGCCUGUUCGAAGGUAAUGCACUUCUCCGUCGUCUGGUCCGUAUUGGUGUGCUGGAUGAGGGCCGUAUGAAGCUUGAUUACGUCCUUGGUCUCAAGAUCGAAGAUUUCCUUGAAAGGCGUCUGCAGACCCAGGUCUUCAAGCUUGGACUUGCCAAGUCCAUCCACCAUGCCCGUGUCCUGAUCCGUCAAAGACACAUCAGGGUGGUUCCGAGGUGAAAUGCUUCCUAGCCAUUGAUCACUUUCUCACAGGCCACUUGAGUGGAGCGUGCUCCCUCAAUGCCUUGUUUCUGGCAACUGCUUCAUUUUCAGCUAGGCCACUUGGGUAGAGCUUGCUCUUCCAAUGCCUAUCAUACUGAUUAAGGACAAGCUGAAGGGUCCGCAAACAGGUGGUCAACAUCCCCAGUUUCGUUGUGCGACUAGACUCCCAGAAGCACAUCGACUUCUCCCUCAAGUCGCCCUUCGGUGGUGGCAGGCCCGGCCGUGUCAAGAGGAAGAACCUGAAGAAGGCAGC